AAAAAAUUCAUAUUACAAGAACACAUUGGUGUUGAAGGAACUAGAUACUGUUCCGAAAUAUCACUUACUCGAACCGUCCUGACCGCGUAGCUCAGUUGGAAGAGCAUUGGGCUAGUAUUCCAAAGGUCGUAGGUUCGAAUCCCAACGUGGCCGGGCAUAUUUUUCAAGCUCGCCCGGUGUGGAUAUGCACUCAGAGUAACAUCACAAACAUAUUAUUCACCUGAGUACACAAC